rnacentral:sRNA from 1 species
CCCCGAUGUGAGGGCUACUUCUGCGAAGGCUCUGGGUGGAUUGAUGUUGGGGAUGGGCGAGGCUGAAAUGCCUGAUUUAGUUCCGUGGUGCUUGUCCUCUCUUUCC